AACGAACGCUGGCGGCAGGCUUAACACAUGCAAGUCGAGCGCGUAGCAAUACGAGCGGCAGACGGGUGAGUAACGCGUGGGAAUCUACCGUACCCUACGGAAUAGCUCCGGGAAACUGGAAGUAAUACCGUAUACGCCCGAAAGGGGAAAGAUUUAUCGGGGUAUGAUGAGCCCGCGUUGGAUUAGCUAGUUGGUGGGGUAAAGGCCUACCAAGGCGACGAUCCAUAGCUGGUCUGAGAGGAUGAUCAGCCACAUUGGGACUGAGACACGGCCCAAACUCCUACGGGAGGCAGCAGUGGGGAAUAUUGGACAAUGGGCGCAAGCCUGAUCCAGCCAUGCCGCGUGAGUGAUGAAGGUCUUAGGAUUGUAAAGCUCUUUCACCGAUGAAGAUAAUGACGGUAGUCGGAGAAGAAGCCCCGGCUAACUUCGUGCCAGCAGCCGCAGUAACAC
rnacentral:rRNA from 1 species